UCGUGGGGCUCCGGCCCCGUCGAGAUAGAACCCUUGCCUUUUCGAGUACCGUCCGUUUCCUCGGCAGGCCCGCCUGCCAAUGGGGACCCCAAACAAACCCUUUUUGUACCUGUACCAGUCUGAACAACAAACAAAAAUUA
rnacentral:misc_RNA from 1 species